UACGGAGGGUGCAAGCGUUGUCCGGAAUCACUGGGCGUAAAGGGCGCGUAGGCGGCUCAUGAAGGCUGUGGUGAAAGUCCGGGGCUCAACCUCGGAUCGGCCGUGGCGACUCGUGGGCUGGAGCACUGUAGAGGCGGGUGGAAUUCCGGGUGUAGCGGUGGAAUGCGUAGAGAUCCGGAAGAACACCAGUGGCGAAGGCGGCCCGCUGGGCAGUGGCUGACGCUGAGGCGCGACAGCGUGGGGAGCAAACGAGG
rnacentral:rRNA from 1 species